rnacentral:lncRNA from 1 species
CCCAUCCUUCGCCAUCCCAUUGAUCUCAUAAUGGGUGUUGGUCAAUCUUUAAUGGGCUCUAUAAGUGGCCGCCGUCAGAUACGGAAUUUCCUUCGUGCAUUAUGGCUAACCUAAUCAAAUCGGUCAGCCGAAUUGGCCGCGUGGAAACGCUUCGGCUCUUCAAUCUGGAGGAGCCGGAUUUGAGUCUCGGGUUCCACGCCUUGAAAAUAUUUAUCGUCGGGUCCGGAUCUAGCCAGUCGAUCUCCGUCCUCCAAAAUCCGGUAACCAUUCUGCAGAUGUUUGUGGAGAGGCUUGUUUCUUUCGUUCAGUUAGUAUUCUAAUUGAAUGGAAACUGACGUCAUCUGUUGACCAAAAAAAUCUAACCAAAUGAUCAUUACUGCUUUUAGUUAUCGAAAUAGGUUUUAAUUACCGAAAUAAAUUCAAUCUUGUGCUUUACAAGAUUACCGUUAUAUCUGUUUUCUAUCUGUAUCCUUCCACUAAUAUGUUUUGAACUAAUGGACAGAUUUUCAGGGUCUGGUACAUUUGCCCGACACUCAUUUUCCCGACGGCUCAUUUCCCCGACGUCACUUGCCCG